UGGGGAAUUUUGGACAAUGGGGGCAACCCUGAUCCAGCAAUGCCGCGUGUGUGAAGAAGGCCUUCGGGUUGUAAAGCACUUUUGUCCGGGAAGAAAUCGCACCUGAUAAUACCGGGUGUGGAUGACGGUACCGGAAGAAUAAGGACCGGCUAACUACGUGCCAGCAGCCGCGGUAAUACGUAGGGUCCAAGCGUUAAUCGGAAUUACUGGGCGUAAAGCGUGCGCAGGCGGUUGUGCAAGACCGAUGUGAAAUCCCCGGGCUUAACCUGGGAAUUGCAUUGGUGACUGCAUGGCUAGAGUGUGUCAGAGGGGGGUAGAAUUCCACGUGUAGCAGUGAAAUGCGUAGAGAUGUGGAGGAAUACCGAUGGCGAAGGCAGCCCCCUGGGAUAACACUGACGCUCAUGCACGAAAGCGUGGGGAGCAAACAGG
rnacentral:rRNA from 1 species